UACGUAGGGAGCAAGCGUUGUUCGGAUUUACUGGGCGUAAAGGGCGCGUAGGCGGCAAAUUAAGUCAGCUGUGAAAUCUCCGAGCUUAACUCGGAACUGUCAGCUGAUACUGAUCUGCUAGAGUGCGGAAGGGGCAAUCGGAAUUCUUGGUGUAGCGGUGAAAUGCGUAGAUAUCAAGAGGAACACCUGAGGUGAAGACGGGUUGCUGGGCCGACACUGACGCUGAGUGCGCGAAAGCCAGGGAAGCAAACGGG
rnacentral:rRNA from 1 species